CAGCCGCCGCGGUAAUACGUAGGGUGCGAGCGUUAAUCGGAAUUACUGGGCGUAAAGCGUGCGCAGGCGGUUGUGUAAGACAGGUGUGAAAUCCCCGGGCUUAACCUGGGAACUGCGCUUGUGACUGCACAGCUAGAGUAUGGCAGAGGGGGGUGGAAUUCCACGUGUAGCAGUGAAAUGCGUAGAGAUGUGGAGGAACACCGAUGGCGAAGGCAGCCCCCUGGGCCAAUACUGACGCUCAUGCACGAAAGCGUGGGGGGCAAACAGGAUUAGAUACCCGAGUAGUCCCUGUCUCUUAUAA
rnacentral:rRNA from 1 species